CACCCUUGUCUUGGACUCUUUAUUGCAUUAUUGGUCUUCGUGAAACGAUUAGAAGUGGAGACUUUGGUUGCUUUUGCCUCUAAUUAUUCCAAUAUGGUAGGACCAUGAGAAGAGUGAUAAAGGAUAGUGUACUCUUUUUUCAAAUCACGAAAGCAACCCCCAAAAAACUAAGGAUGAAAAGUCAUUGUUAUAGUCACUUUGCCAAAAGAUUGCCCACCUUUAAUUUAGAAUCUUGGGCGUGGAUCAUCUUUUGGAGAGUUGGAAACCAAAAAAUGAAAAUGAUUGAGAUAGGAAAGAGACAAAUAAAGCAUGAAAGCUGAGAUUAAGGUGUGGCCCAAGCCCUGUUUACAUGAAUUUACUAGUGCUACACAUUGACUUCAUGCACUUCUGAGACUGACUUUUGAAACACCCCCUUAGAGAUUAUUACAUAGAUGAUAGUAAUUUUAGCUUGAAGCUACUUACCUUAUGAGAGAUACACACCAGCAGCUAAGAACUUCAUUUAUUUAGGUACAGCUCUUCCAACUCCUCAAAACCACGCUGCUUCAGGAAUAAAGCUUAGAACACCACAAGAAGAAAAGACACCAACCAGAGAUACAACAUAAUUCAGCAACACUUCAAGCCAUGGGCCAAGACCAUAGGAACUCUUUUGGGAGAACAGUUCACCGGUAACUGCGGUACACAGGAGAGUACAUGCAGCUCUCAGCAUACUUCACAAGAUUCUCAGGUUGAGGGAGCCGGGUCGCCAAACCUAGAAAAGCAUUAAAGUAAGAAACAAAAUAAAUGAUGCUGAAAACAGAAAGCAUUUGGUGUUUGUAAUAUAAGAAAAUCUGCAAGAAAAGACACCCACCAAGUUCAUAUGCCUUUGCAGCUACAUUAGCAGCAAUGUGGGCCGAUAUUUUCCUGAUAUUGGAGAAUGGUGGGUAAAUCAAGCCCUUGUCAAAGUUUUCUUGUGUUACUUGCCUGGCCAAGGCUUCCGCUGUUUCAAAGACAAUCAACAAACAUGUAAACAGUAAAAACUUAAUCCAGUGCAUCUUUAUGUGCAGUCAAAAUCAUUUGGUUUUCCAUUCUAACAGUAUUAUUGCAAAAAUUUACAAGGCUUGAUGCAACUUUGUAUGCUAUAUGCAGAAUGUCAGAACUGUAAGUAGUAAAAGCCCAUUAUUUUCACUUCCUCAUGGAUUUGAUUGUUUUUAAGGUGUUCUCAACUUACAGGCUGCAAGAAGCAUCUCGUCAUGAACACGGAUAGCACCAGAAAUAACCAAGCCCAUACCCAAUCCAGGAAAGAUGUAAGCAUUGUUAGCCUGAAUUGACAAGGAAAACAUAAACUUCAGUCCUAGAUGGCUAACUAUAUCUGUGGAGGAGGCUAUACUACAAAAUACUUGAAAAAUAGUUGUACAACCUGUCCAGGAACAAAAGUUUUGCCAUUGUAUUCAACGGGGUCAAAUGGACUUCCGCUAGCAAAAAUUGCACGACCCUUUACAUUUAAAAAAAACAGCAAAGGACAGAAAAUAAGGAUUAGUUUGCUUGCUUCUGCAAUCUAGUUAUAAGAUAUAUAAGAACCCGUAUGUCAUUUUACCUGAGUCCAAGUGUAAGCUUCUUCAGCUGUACACUCUGAUUGUGAGGUUGGGUUGGAGAGAGCCAGAAUGAGAGGUUUCUGCAUGUCAUUAAAAAUUUCAGUUUCUUCUGAUUGAAUUAUAAUUACUGAAAUCUGAUAUAAGGAAAAGAGAGAGGGGUACCUCAUUGCAGGAUGCCAUGGCCUCAAUAACCUCCUUUGUAAAUGCUUUUCCUACUCCAGAUGAUCCAAUCAAGACGGUUGGCUUGAUCACCUAAAGAUGUAAAGAGUGUAUAAUAAGGGACCAAUAAACACUUAAACCGUCAAUGACAUAAACAAAAACUGAGAGGAUUUGAUACCUUGACAGCAUGUAAAAGAUCCUUAACAGGUUCAUGUUCAUGAGCCCAUGGCUUCUUAAAUUGUUGAAGCGAAUCCUUACGGGAGCUAACAAUUAAACCCUGCAGGAAAAAGGAUGAGGAAACUGAAAUUAAAAUGAUGUCAAAGGGAAAAUAUUUUCAUCCAAAACAGAUCUUCAUAAAAAAUUCUACUACCUUUGAGUCCACAAGCCAAAUCUUCUUUCUGGUCUCUUCUAUAGGACAUUUUGUCUACAAAAGAUGAGCAAAACUAGAUAAAUAAUAUAAUAUUUAAAUGUGAAUGAGAAUAUCAUCCAAGUUUCCAGAUCCAUAACCAUACAUUCGUAUGUUAUAAUUACAUAAACCAAAGCUAAACAUGCAUAGGGUAGCAAGCGAAUACCUGUUUCGACAUCUCAAGAGCUAUAAGCUCUGCUAUCCCAGUUCCAGCCUGCAAUCAUGAUGGAGCAAAGGUGGGAUAAAUGAACUUGAUUAUGUACUUUUUUCAAUGAUAAUGUCUGAUAAUAUGCAGCAUCACUAGGGUAGGUCUCAAUGAAGAGGAAUGGAUAUAGAGUUUUCAAGAAAAUAAACAUAGAACAUGUCCAAUUAUCAAGUCAAAAAUUAAAAUGAAAAAGAAAUAGAUCUUAAGUAAAUUGGAUCAUUUAUUAAUUAAAUUAUUUAUCUAAUUUUCUGCUCCAUUUCAUUGCUUUUUAAACUUCUCCCAGUGUAGCAAGGGGGGGAAAAACACCAAUACGAAGGAAACAAAAAAGGGUGGAGAACAGGAUCUCACUUCUCCAGCACCAAGGAACAAAAAUUUGUGAUCGGCCAAAGUACCACCAAGUAACCGCAGUGCUGAAACUAUCCCUGCAAGAACCACAGAUGCUGUUCCCUGCACAGAGAACAAAUUAGUGAAGAAUGCAAAGAUUCCUUUAAUGAAAAGCUCCAACUUUAUAAUACUUCAUACCUGUAUAUCAUCAUUGAAGACGAGAUGAGUUGUGCCGUAUUUUGCAAGCAGGUCAAAAGCAUUAUGGUUUGCAAAAUCUUCAAACUGAAAAAUUCAGUCAAAGGAUCUAUAUUUGUAAUUGCAAGAACAAAAUUCAAAUACUGACAAUCUAAUGAUCAAGAAUGUACUGUAGUUGAUGACUGCAACGAAUGACUAACCUGUAUAAGAACUUUUUCUCCAUAGUUCUGCUUGACAGCGGACAUGAACUCUUGCAGAAAUUCAGAGUAUUCCUGAAAAUAAUUUGUCAAAACUACCUCAAUAUUGAAGUGAUGGCACAAUCCUUUCAUUUAAGGAGGACAAAACAACAAAUCAUAUGACCUUCCCAGUUGCUCUCCGUUGUUUGAGACCAAUAUAGAACUCAUUCGCCAAUAGCUUUUCAUUGUUUGUUCCCACGUCAAUGGUUAUGGGCAAGCACUGUGAAUGCAAGUCAGACACUUUCUUGAUUAAAAUGGGAGAGUGGAAAUUGGGGCAGUGUUUUCAGGGCUUAUUUUCAAAAAUUCUGUCCAAGUUUGCAACUUAAUCAUGUUGUUUGGAUUUCUUGAAAUAAAAUUUUCAAGGGGUUUGGCUGUUAGUACUUAUAUAAGAAACAAGUGCAACAAAAAUAAGGCAAAAGCAACAGUUUCAUUUCUGGAAAUACUCACUGCUGAAGGACGAACACCUCCAAGUGCUGUAUACAGAGAAAGUUUCCCUACAGGUAUCCCCAUCCCCUGGUAACAUUUUAAAAAUUUUCAUCCAAGCCCUAUUUCACUUCUGUAAUAUUAUUCGAACUUAUGAAUUAUGUUUUAAACCAAUAAUAAAUUUAAAGAGAUGAAUCCCAGUACAAUCACCUGGCAACCAAGGUCCCCAAGUCCCAGAAUCCGCUCACCAUCAGUGACGACAAUAACUUGAAUUCUCCUCUCAGGCCAGUUCUUCAAUACCUCCAGAAUCUUUCCCCUGCAAAUCCAGUCACACUUGCAUAUUAAUUCAGAGCUAUUUUUAAUUUGAGAACAUAAUUACAAAUCAAACAACUAAUCAUACUUUUCUUUCAAACUUAUGUAAAGACCCUGUGGGCGCCUGAAGAUGCUCCCAUAUUUCUGGCAAGCCUCACCAACAGUUGGAGUGUAGACAACCGGGAGCAAUUCCUCAACAUUAUCAAUGAGAAGCUUGUAGAACAGCCUUUCAUUCCUUUCCUAAAAGUCAAAAGAAAUACGAAAAAAAGGCAGAGAUUAAAUCAAUGCCACCCAACAAGGAGCAUUUGAACACUGCAUUGAACAAGAUGACUCUAUUUUGCUCCCAUAGCAUUUAAAAUUCAAAUCCAAGCUUCUAAAUAAGAUCAUUAACAACUCUCUUCGCAUUUUACAACCCCAUCUGACCCCUAUGCAACCCCACAAAAAGUUUGGAUGUCCCAUGGACUAAAUCCUUCAUUUUAUUUUUAUAGAUAACUUGAUUUGUGAGUCCCAGAUCUUAAUUGACAAAACAGUCAAAACUUGCAUCCAUCAAGUCAAAUGAGGCGAAAGAUUAAAUGGGUGGCAUUUACUAAAAUUCAUGAUUGAGAAUCAUUUACUGUUUUACAUCCGAUCUUCUUUGUUAUAUCCACUCUAGAUUAUGGAUUUGCGCAAAUCCAACGCAAUGUACAAUUCCAUGGAGCAAUUAAAUUAUCAUGAGACAACCAAACAUGGCCAUGUAAAACAGGUACCUGAAGGUCCAUCAUGGCCAUGUACUUUUGCAAAGGAACUUGAUAUUGACGAAUAGAGUUCAUCAAUUUCCUCUCCUGCUCAGUGAAAUGAAAAGGGUUAACAGGAAAUGAUAGUAAUAAUCAGAUCAAAAAAAUUUCAAACUCAGAGCCAACCAUCUAUAUAACCUGAAGUUCUUGGGUGGAAACUACUGGAGGUAGAAGACCACAUAAGUAGUGCGCAUCCCUCUCUUUAUCAUUGAAUGCAAGACCCUUGUUGUGGCGAGGAUCCCUCAACAACGAAUACCCACUUCAGCACAACAAAGAAAAGAUCAAAAGAUCAGUAUCUGACUAUGGCAUCGCUUUCAGAAUCCAACCCAGAUCAGCUUUAAUCUCAAUCUGAGCACAAAACAAUUUUAAGAAAAAAAGUACCCAAGAACAAGGAACAGAAAUUGAAUUCAAGAAAAGAAAACAAAUCAACACUGAUCCAGAACAUAAACUGAAAAAACAUAUCAAAGUCAGUAACUAAGAACGCAGAAAUAAGAGAAAGUAAACGAUCCCAAACAAACAAGAGUAUGCAAGACCUGGCAACGGAAACAGUCCAAGGGGUGACGAGCUGGUCCUCAGUGGCAAAAUCCUCCCCGUACAAGUCCUCAACGCCACCACCCACGGUGGCCUUUGGGUCCAGGUCCAGCACCGAAGCGCCAUCUCUUAUGUCCUUCAACGUGCUCUCCAUCACCACCACCACCACCACCACCGGAGCUCAGAAUUUCCU
rnacentral:lncRNA from 1 species